GACGAACGCUGGCGGCGUGCCUAAUACAUGCAAGUCGAACGCAGUGGGGACGGGUGAGUAACACGUGGGUAACCUCCCAUCAGAGGGGAUAACACUUGGAAACAGGUGCUAAACCGAUACUGAUGGAUGGAACCGCGGGGCAUUAGCUAGUUGGUGAGGUAACGGCUCACCAAGGCCACGAUGCAUAGCCGACCUGAGAGGGGGAUCGGCCACACUGGGAAGGAGCCACGGCCCAGACUCCUACGGGAGGCAGCAGUAGGGAAUCUUCGGCAAUGGACGAAAGUCGGACCGAGCAACGCGGAGGGAGUGAAGAAGGUUUUCGGACCGUAAAACUCUGUUGUUAGAGAAGCGGUAUCUAACCAGAAAGCCACGGCUAACUACGUGCCAGCCGCCGCGGUAAUUC
rnacentral:rRNA from 1 species